rnacentral:rRNA from 1 species
AUUGAACGCUGGCGGCAUGCCUUACACAUGCAAGUCGAACGGUAACAGGUCUUCGGAUGCUGACGAGUGGCGAACGGGUGAGUAAUACAUCGGAACGUGCCUAGUAGUGGGGGAUAACUACUCGAAAGAGUGGCUAAUACCGCAUGAGAUCUACGGAUGAAAGCAGGGGAUCGCAAGACCUUGUGCUACUAGAGCGGCCGAUGGCAGAUUAGGUAGUUGGUGGGAUAAAAGCUUACCAAGCCGACGAUCUGUAGCUGGUCUGAGAGGACGAUCAGCCAGACUGGGACUGAGACACGGCACAGACUCCUACGGGAGGCAGCAGUGGGGAAUUUUGGACAAUGGGCGCAAGCCUGAUCCAGCAAUGCCGCGUGCAGGAUGAAGGCCUUCGGGUUGUAAACUGCUUUUGUACGGAACGAAAAGCCCUGGGUUAAUACCCUGGGGUCAUGACGGUACCGUAAGAAUAAGCACCGGCUAACUACGUGCCAGCAGCCGCCGUAA